GACAUAGGUCGCAAACGUUAUCCGGAAUUAUUGGGCGUAAAGGAUGCGUAGAUGGUUCAGUAAGUUACUGGUGGGAAAUCGAGGCCCAACCUCGUGGAAGUCAGUAAUACUGUUGAACUUGAGUGCAGGAGAGGUUAACGGAACUUUAUGUGGAGCGGUAAAAAUGCAUAGAUAUAUAAAAAGAACAUCAAUAUGGCGAAGGCAGUUAACUAUUCUGCUACUGACGUUGAGGCAUGAAAGCGUGGGGAGCAAAACGG
rnacentral:rRNA from 1 species